UGAGCACUCACCAGGUCAGUGUGUGUGUCCAGUGGAACUGAUUUGAACUACACAGAGAAUGCUGGACUCAUUUUAGUACCUGCUCCAUGAAAUCCUCCACAGAGCUUCAGGAGUUUGUGAGAGAGCACAAAGCAGAAGCUACAGCACGUUAUCCACAGACACCAAAGUAAGAUCCCUUCUGAAGUCUCAUAUCAAAGGAAGGAUGAGCAGAAUAUCUUCAAAACACAAAGCUCCCAGUUAGCAAGGCUGGAGUCACUUUGGGGUUUAACUGCGCUGGCAUCAGGGGACAGGCUGAUACUGAGUGGAGCAGCGCUGUGACGAACAAGUCCUCGCCCUCCUAAGCUGUUAUUUGAUGUCCUGGCUUGACUUUGUCUUGUCUUAUUUCAAUUACAGAGCCUGAGUGGGAAGGGUAUUUUUCUCUGUCCUGUAAUGGACACAUGCAUUUAGGGCACUCUGUCAAUGCUGUUGUUAGUGUUUGUUCAGGAUUGACAGAACAUUCAGUGCUGCUCCAGCACAGGGACAGCCCCUGCCUUGGCCAGCUCAUUUGCUUUCCCAGGGCAGCUGUGGUAACCCCACAUAUGCAAUCACUGCAUCUGACAGGGGGAAGAUAGAUGGUACCAGAAGAAUUCAGCACUCUGUAGUGCUGAUCUUAAAACACUUUUUUGAGUACUUCAGCUAAUUUAUUCUGGUCUGUGCAGGUACACCAGAAUCUUGCAAAGCUGUGAGUUUUGAUCAAUGGCUGUUAAUCUGCUCAUCUCAAACCUAUUUCUACAUAAACUCAGACACCCAUGCAUUGCCACUGAUAGUACUGGUAGGCAGGUAUUCACUUUAGGUGGGUUUAAAAAAAUUAUUCUUGGUUCAAUAUUCAUGACUUGUGCUUCUAAGCCACUUUUCCCUCUCACAAUCUGCUCUGGAAAAAAGCUUAACAAAGCUGGUUGUCUGACUUCAACAUCUAUCUUUGUUAUAUGACAUACCUUUCAGUUCAAGUUUUUUUACAGACAGAUUGUUUCUACAUUAAGUGUUUUCAUAUUUCAGUUCUUUACAUAUAAGAUACCCUUGCACAGUUGUUUCUGCAUCAGAAAUAUUCACUGAUCUUUUUGUUGCCUCCUUGGGGACUCCCACACUCAAAAUAUUCAAAGAAGUGGAAGUCUUGUUAGCUGAUUGCAACUCACUUUUAAAUACUUUGAACAAUAAUUUAUUUCAAGAGGACAGAAACCACUGAGUUAUGAUGACAGCCUGAACAUAUUUCAGCGAGCAUUACAGAUGCUCCACUUCAUUGUCAAGUGAAUGUGGGGCUUUUUCCUGAGCACUCAAAUUUGAAAUUCACCAAGCAAUAAACAAAAAUGGGCUAGACUCUGCAAAAUCA